rnacentral:rRNA from 1 species
GACGAACGCUGGCGGCGUGCUUAACACAUGCAAGUCGAACGCUGAAGCUCAGCUUUUGUUGGGUGGAUGAGUGGCGAACGGGUGAGUAACACGUGAGUAACCUGCCUCCUUCUUUGGGAUAACGCCCGGAAACGGGUGCUAAUACUGGAUAUUCACUGGUCUUCGCAUGGGGGUUGGUGGAAAGGGUUUUUCUGGUGGGGGAUGGGCUCGCGGCCUAUCAGCUUGUUGGUGUGGUGAUGGCCUACCAAGGCUUUGACGGGUAGCCGGCCUGAGAGGGUGACCGGUCACAUUGGGACUGAGAUACGGCCCAGACUCCUACGGGAGGCAGCAGUGGGGAAUAUUGCACAAUGGGCGCAAGCCUGAUGCAGCGACGCCGCGUGAGGGAUGGAGGCCUUCGGGUUGUGAACCUCUUUCGCUCAUGGUCAAGCCGCAACAAUGGUUGUGGUGAGGGUAGUGGGUAAAGAAGCGCCGGCUAACUACGUG